GACGAACGCUGGCGGCGUGCUUUACACAUGCAAGUCGAACGGUGAAGCGCCUUCCUUUUUGGUGGGUGUGGAUGAGUGGCGAACGGGUGAGUAACACGUGAGUAACCUGCCCCCUUCUUCUGGAUAACCGCAUGAAAGUGUGGCUAAUACGGGAUCUUCUGGGUCUGUCGCAUGAUGGGUCUGGGAAAGAUAUUGUUUCGGUGGGGGAUGGGCUCGCGGCCUAUCAGCUUGUUGGUGGGGUGAUGGCCUACCAAGGCGGUGACGGGUAGCCGGCCUGAGAGGGUGGACGGUCACACUGGGACUGAGACACGGCCCAGACUCCUACGGGAGGCAGCAGUGGGGAAUAUUGCACAAUGGGCGCAAGCCUGAUGCAGCGACGCCGCGUGAGGGAUGGAGGCCUUCGGGUUGUGAACCUCUUUCGCCAGUGAAGCAGGCCUGCCUCGUUUGUGGGUGGGUUGACGGUAGCUGGAUAAGAAGCGCCGGCUAACUACGUG
rnacentral:rRNA from 1 species